UACAGAGACUGCAAGCGUUAUUCGGAUUCACUGGGCGUAAAGGGUGCGCAGGCGGCUAGGGGUGUCAGAUGUGAAAUCCCGAGGCUCAACCUCGGAACUGCGUCUGAAACUACUUGGCUAGAGUACUGGGGAGGGUAACGGAAUUCACGGUGUAGCAGUGAAAUGCGUAGAUAUCGUGAGGAACACCAGAGGCGAAGGCGGUUACCUGGACAGUUACUGACGCUCAUGUACGAAAGCGUGGGUAGCAAACAGG
rnacentral:rRNA from 1 species